AUUGAACGCUGGCGGCAGGCCUAACACAUGCAAGUCGAACGAGUGGCGGACGGGUGAGUAAUGUCUGGGAAACUGCCUGAUGGAGGGGGAUAACUCCUGGAAACGGUAGCUAAUACCGCCUACCAUCAGAUGUGCCCAGAUGGGAUUAGCUAGUUGGUGGGGUAAAGGCUCACCAAGGCGACGCUACAUAGCCGACCUGGGAGGGUGAUCGGGCACACUGGGGCGUAGACACGGGCCAGAAUCCUACGGGAGGCAGCAGGAGGGAAUCUUCGGCAAGUGACGGAAGUCUUACCGAGCAACGCCGCGGGAGUGAAGAAGGUUUUCGGAUCGUAAAGCUCGUUGUUAGAGAAGACGGUAACUAACCAGAAAGGGACGGCUAACUACGUGCCAGCAGCCGCGGUAAUUC
rnacentral:rRNA from 1 species